AUUGAACGCUGGCGGCAGGCUUAACACAUGCAAGUCGAGCGGGGUGAUGGUGCUUGCACUAUCACUUAGCGGCGGACGGGUGAGUAAUGCUUAGGAAUCUGCCUAUUAGUGGGGGACAACAUCUCGACAGGGAUGCUAAUAACGCAUACGUCCGACGGGAGAAAGCAGGGGAUCGCUUGUGCCCUUGCGCGAAGAGAUGAGCCUAAGUCGGAUUAGCUAGUUGGUGGGGUAAAGUCCUACCAAGGCGACGAUCUGUAGCGGGUCUGAGAGGAUGAUCCGCCACACUGGGACUGAGACACGGCCCAGACUCCUACGGGAGGCAGCAGUGGGGAAUAUUGGACAAUGGGGGGAACCCUGAUCCAGCCAUGCCGCGUGUGUGAAGAAGGCCUUAUGGUUGUAAAGCACCUUAAGCGAGGAGGAGGCUCUUUUGGUUAAUACCCAAGAUGAGUGGACGUUACUCGCAGAAUAAGCACCGGCUAACUCUGUGCCAGCCGCCGCGGUAA
rnacentral:rRNA from 1 species